rnacentral:rRNA from 1 species
UACGUAGGGGGCAAGCGUUGUCCGGAAUCAUUGGGCGUAAAGCGCGUGUAGGCGGCUUGGUAAGUCCGCUCUGAAAGCCCGGGGCUCAACCCCGGGAGGCGGGUGGAUACUGUCAAGCUCGAGUCCGGAAGAGGCGAGUGGAAUUCCUGGUGUAGCGGCGAAAUGCGCAGAUAUCAGGAGGAACACCAAUGGCGAAGGCAGCUCGCUGGGACGUGACUGACGCUGAGACGCGAAAGCGUGGGGAGCAAACAGG